AUACGUAGGUGGCGAGCGUUAUCCGGAAUUACUGGGUGUAAAGGGUGUGUAGGCGGGAAGGCAAGUCGGAUGUGAAAAUUUUGGGCUCAACCCAUAAAGUGCGACCGAAACUGUUUUUCUUGAGGAUCGGAGAGGUAAUGAGAAUUCCCGGUGUAGCGGUGAAAUGCGCAGAGAUCGGAAGGAAUACCGAUGGCGAAGGCGAAUAUCUGGCCGAUAACGGACUCUGAAACACUAACGCGUGCGACGCAAACAGGAUUUGGUCCCCUGUUGGUCCACGCCGUAAACGAUGAGUACUAGCUUUCGGGGGUUACCCCCCUCGGUGGCGCAGCUAACGCAAUAAGUACUACGCCUGGGAAGUACGCUCGCAAGAGUGAAACUCAAAUAAAUUGGCGGGG
rnacentral:rRNA from 1 species